CAGGGAUCAAUCAGCUGAGCUGAGGGGUUUGAAAAUGUGACAGUUCCAGAAAUGCAACUGUAAUUCAGUUAAUCAUUUAAAAGAUACAACGGAUGCUCCGAAGAACGGACCCCCAUACUGUUACUUCUAUAAACCUUUCCCUACUCCAUCUAUAUUAAGUCUUACCCUAGAGGCUCCUGAAUGAAGCCAGAAACACCAGCAUGUGCUCCCUUGUCAUGAGACCCCAGCUUAGCUCAAUACAGUUGACAACUGAAGGUGAAACCGUGCCCAGACACAAAGAGGUUGAAAAGGACCAAAGGCCAGUCACAGAAGAGCUGUAUCAUGGUGAGAUCCGAAAGGAAGUAGCCCAGUUAACAGCAGAAAGCAUAAUAUGCAGAAGACCAGGAGUACCGUGGGAAGGGAAACACAAGACAGAAAGAGACUUGUGAGGCUAGGGGCCUCAAGGUCAUCCGUCCUACUUGGCGGCUUGAUCUAUGGUGCUUAGGUACAUAGGCAGGAGUGAGGAAGUACAGAAUGGGACAGUUAGAAACAAGAGGACAGGGAGAAGAGGAAAGGAGGAAAAACAGUUGCACCCUGUGACAUGGAAGGCCAUGUUUUAUUUGGCACUGGUAUUCCCAACAAAGUUAAAGGGAUCACUGGUCCCAGAAGCCAAAAGGUAAACCUGUCCCUCCAAAGCUCCUGGCUUUGGCAAAGGAAGAAAGAAAAGGAAGGAGGGAGGAAGAAGGAGCCCAUCCAAGCCAGAUCAUCACACGCCACACAUAAGUCGAUGCUUACUUUGAUGGCCCUGAACCUUCCAGAAAAGCCGUGAAUGUGGUUUCUAAUAACCAGUCCAGAAAGCCUCUGUUACUCCCUGAGGAUGAAAGCAACAUCUGGUAGGAUGUUAUGAAGAAUGUGCUAACGGAGCCAGGCACUAAGACUGCUCUAUUAAAAUCAUCUAGCAUAUUGUAUCCACUUGUCUUCUAUGGAUGUACAAUUCAAGAAGAUCAAAGAUUCCUUGGUGGGACCCAGAUGUACCCUUCUGUACUGCAGGCUAGCAGAAGUAGAGAAUGUGAGCUGUGGAGGAGAACACCAAGUACACCUUCCCUGGCAUAUAUGUUUAUUUUACUCGGCGCUAGAUCAAAGAAUCAAGCCUUGUACAGUGUUUUAAAACGUUAGACCAUUUUAUUCCAGACCCAUGAAAUACAAAUGCCAGCAAGCACUUCUCAUGUUUUUAGGAUUAGGAGAGGGACUUUUCUUUUGAUUUUUUUUAAAAAAUUCAUUGUUGAUCUUUCAAAAUGGACUAAGCCUUUUAAAAGGAUUACAGUGAACAUUUUGUUCCUUGUAAAAGUUUCUAUAAUACCAUAUUUGUAUGUUAUUAUCUACUUUCUGAAAAUGUUGUCUACUGCCUAAACUUAUGAAUUAUCACUUAGGAUAGCAGACCUACAUGCAUCUCUGUUAAAACGUAAGAAAAUGUCAACAGUGUCUCCCUGUUUUACUUUGUCUCUGGUCCUUAUAAGCCUAUUCUACCAACCUUUCUUUCUGCUACAGUGAUGAGUCACUGACUUUAUUCUAAUUUUUAUCUUUAAACACUUUUUAAAAAUAAAAUAUGUAGAAGUAGAAUUGCA
rnacentral:lncRNA from 1 species